rnacentral:lncRNA from 10 species
UAUUCAAUUUAAUUUUUUUUUUUUUUGAGAUGAAGUCCAGCUCUGUCUCCCAGGCUGGAGUGCAGUGGCACAAUCUCAGCUCACUGCAACCUCGCCUGUCGGGUUCAAGUGAGUCUCCUGCCUCAGCCUCCUGAGUAGCUGGGAUUACAAGCGCGUGACAUGACGCCCAGCUAAGUUUUGUAUUUUUAGUAGAGACGGGGUUUCACUGUGUUGGUCAGGAUGGUCUCGAACUCCUGACCUCAGGUGAUGUGCCCACCUUGGCCUCCCAAAGUGCUGGGAUUAUAGGCGUGAGCCACCGUGCCUGGCCAAUAAAUUUAAUUUUUUAGAAGUAAAAACUCUGUUUUGGGGACAACUACUUAUAAAAUGAACACUCUUGAUGCAAAGAAUAAAAACUGGAAGAAAAUUCUCCAAAAAGUUCAAGGUCUUCAUCAUUCAGUAAUGGCUGGUGAAGCCUCCCGAGUAGCUGCGACUACAGGCGUGCACCACCACGCCCAGCUAAUUUUUGUAUUUUUAGUAGAGACGGAGUUUCACCAUGUUGGCCAGGAUGGUCUCGAUCUCUUGACCUCAUCAUCUGCCCACCUCGGCCUCCCAAAGUGCUGGGAUUAAAGGCAUGAGCCAAUUUCUGCUUUCAAAAGCACCAGGACUUUGCUGUCGUGGGACUUGGAAGCUUCCAGGUAUUAGGGCAUUAGAUAUGAUUACGGCCAGUGCUUUUACGGGCAUUCAUAUGGGCCCAUUAUUUAUUUAUUUAUUGAAACAGGGUCUCAUUCUGUCGCCCAGGCU